rnacentral:lncRNA from 12 species
CAGGUUUGAUAGUUGGUAUUUCAGUAGUUCACUUUAUAUUGCAUGUGCUGCUUUCACCAGGAUCCGGUGCAAGUAGAUUUUGGUUUUUCCUGGAUUGCCCUCAGCUGCCUUCCAGCCUGUUGCACAUGCUGGAAAUCAUCAGGUGAUAAUUUUGGGAUGUCUGAAGAAAACGCUGUUGUUUCUGAGUUUUUCCUGUUAACCUUAG